GUCGGGAAUAUUGGGCAAUGGGCGAAAGCCUGACCCAGCAACGCCGCGUGAAGGAUGAAGGCCCUAGGGUCGUAAACUUCUGUCGAGAGGGAAGAAUGCUUGUGGGUUAAUACCCUGCAAGUUUGACGGUACCUCCAAAGGAAGCACCGGCUAACUCCGUGCCAGCAGCCGCGGUAAUACGGAGGGUGCAAGCGUUGUUCGGAUUUAUUGGGCGUAAAGCGAGUGUAGGCGGCUUGACAAGUCGGAUGUGAAAUCCCAGGGCCCAACCCUGGAACUGCACCCGAUACUGUCAGGCUAGAGUUCCGGAGAGGGUGGCGGAAUUCCCGGUGUAGGGGUGAAAUCCGUAGAUAUCGGGAGGAACACCAGUGGCGAAGGCGGCCACCUGGACGGUGACUGACGC
rnacentral:rRNA from 1 species